UACGGAGGGAGCUAGCGUUGUUCGGAAUUACUGGGCGUAAAGCGCACGUAGGCGGCUACUCAAGUCGGGGGUGAAAGCCCGGGGCUCAACCCCGGAACUGCCCUCGAAACUAGGUGGCUAGAAUCUUGGAGAGGUCAGUGGAAUUCCGAGUGUAGAGGUGAAAUUCGUAGAUAUUCGGAAGAACACCAGUGGCGAAGGCGGCUCACUGGUCCGGUACUGACGCUGAGGUGCGAAAGCGUGGGGAGCAAACAGG
rnacentral:rRNA from 1 species